ensembl:lncRNA
AAAAAAGUCUCAAUAGUGUUCAUAAAUGAAUAAAUUGUGUGCUAUUAAAGUUGGUUAUAACAAAAAAAAAAAUCAUUGUUUUCACAGGGAACAUUAGACCACUCGCUGCUCAUGAUUCUGCGAACAUGGUGGUCUACAGUCUUGCGGCACCCUCUGAGAUAUACAGUUUAGUGCAGGAGCACGAAAAUAAACCAGCGCUGCAAAGAGAGGCUGGACAACCUGAAGCAGCAGCAGUCUACGCACAAGUAGUGAAGAAAAAAAGGAAAUAACUCGCCAAUGAUUUUUUCCACCCGCAAUAUGAAUAAAUCAGUAACUUUAAACAAAGAUAUUCAGCGGUCAUGCUUUUAAGUAUCAAAUCAGAGGAAACUGAAUCAGUCGGACAAAAAAUGGACAACUAAGAGUUACUUAUGUGGAAUCUGAGUCACUCACACUAGCACUGACAUUCAAGAAUGGAA